CUACGGGACGCAGCAGUGGGGAAUAUUGCACAAUGGAGGAAACUCUGAUGUAGCAACGCCGCGUGGAGGAUGACACUUUUCGGAGCGUAAACUCCUUUUAUAUAGGAAGAAGAUGACGGUACUAUAUGAAUAAGCGCCGGCUAACUCCGUGCCAGCAGCCGCGGUAAUACGGAGGGCGCAAGCGUUACUCGGAAUCACUGGGCGUAAAGAGCGUGUAGGCGGGUUAAAAAGUCAGAAGUGAAAUCCUAUAGCUUAACUAUAGAACUGCUUCUGAAACUCUUAAUCUAGAAUAUGGGAGAGGUAGAUGGAAUUUCUGGUGUAGGGGUAAAAUCCGUAGAGAUCAGAAGGAAUACCGAUUGCGAAGGCGAUCUACUAGAACAUUAUUGACGCUGAGACGCGAAAGCGUGGGGAGCAAACAGGAUUAGAUACCCGCGUAGUC
rnacentral:rRNA from 1 species